GCAAGCAAAGCAACCCAAUCUCUUUCUUACUAUUUAUUAUAUUGGUCAGUGUAACAUCCUAACAGUCCAAAGUUUUCCACCUCCUAAUCAGGGCACUUGUUUGAGUAAUCAAUCAUUGAAAAAUUGGGAAAAAAAAAAGCUUAUUACCCAUCUCUCUUCUCGGGGGCUUCCACAUUUUCAAAGGCUCUCGAAAUCUGUACUACGUUCUUGUUUCAUUGCUUGAUAAAUGGUCAAUCAUUAAAAUUAGCACAUUUCUCCAUGUGGGUUUUGAAAUUCUAGCAUGAAUGCUUGUGUUUGUUGAUUUUUUGACUUUUUUUUUUAUAGGGUUUGUAAACUUACCCUUUGAAUUUAGAUAUUUUGCUUCAGUUUUACUCCAUUGUAUGUUUUUUCUCUCCCCCUUUUUCAUAUAUAUUUGGGGUCGGGCUGUUCCUUUUUAGUCUUUUUUCAAGAAAUACUCAAUGCUACUAAGAAAAAACAUAUGUCCUGCAUUCAGUUCUUGUUUUCUUCAUGUUUGAUUAUAUGCUCUUGAUUUAGGGUUUCAAAUUUUUUUUUUUUUUUUUUGAGUUUCUUGCAAGAUAUUUGUCAGUCUUCAUUUGAUCUUCUCUUCCAUUGAGUUGGGGAAGUGUUUUUUUAGAGUAUUAAUCUUGAAAUUUUAUCAAAAAGGUCAGUUGAUUAAGUUUUUGGCUGAGAAAUGUUCAUUUCUACUGAGGAAGAACAGAUCUCAUUGCCUUUAGAUAAUGGGAGAGAGUCUUUCAAGUCUUCUCCUUCGGGAUCAAACCCAGAUUCCCUUGAUGGGCUUCCUCCAGCUUCCGAAUUGCCUGAAUCUCCCCCGGUUUGCGUCAAUUACACCGAUGUAAACGUGGUUCCCGAGCACGAAAAGAAUGAGCUCGAGAGGGCUAUAUCAAGUAUAGGAGGAGAAUUGCCUGAAUCUCCCCCGGUCUGCUCCAUUUACACCGAUGUGAAUGUGGUUCCUGAGCACGAAAAGAAUGAGCUUGAGACAGCCAUAUCAAGUAUAGAAGGAGAAAUUGUGGGAUUGAAGUUCAAGCAGAAGUCUUUGGAUGAGAAGCGAAGAGAGGCAUUGAAUAAAAUUUUAGACAUCAAAGGCUGCAUUAGAGUAUUUUGUCGGGUUCGACCCUUCUUAUCAACCAAGAAGGGGAAGAAUCACCAACCCAUUUCGAUUGGAUCCGAAAAGAUUGUGGUUAAAUGUGCUGGAAGUAAGAAAGAAUUUGGAUUUGAUAAGGUGUUCUCUCAAGAAGCUAGCCAAGAAGAAUUUUUUGUUGAGGUUGAACCAAUCCUCAGAUCUGCACUUGAUGGACACAAUGUAUGCAUAUUGGCUUAUGGACAAACCGGCACUGGCAAGACAUUCACUAUGGAAGGGACAAAUGAAUCACUGGGGAUCGUUCCUCGAGCUCUUGAAGAGCUGUUUCGCCAAGCCUCUUCGGAUAGCUCUGCAUCUUUUACCUUUUCAUUUAGCAUGUUGGAAGUUUACAUGGGUCAUCUAAAGGACUUACUAGUUCCAAGACCAUCCGCUAGAGCAUAUGAAGUUAUAUCAAGAUGCAAUCUUAACAUUCAAACAGAUCCGAAGGGAUUGGUGGAAAUUGAAGGUCUCACAGAUGUGCCAAUCUCUAAUUUCACAAAAGCAAUUUGGUGGUACACCAAGGGGAGGCGGGUUAGAUCUACUUCAUGGACUAAUGUCAACGAGGCAUCUAGCAGAUCACAUUGCUUAAUAAGGAUCACCAUUGUUCGGCGUGGAGAUGCUUCGGGAGGAAAACCAGAAGUAAGCAAAUUGUGGAUGGUUGAUCUUGGAGGAAGUGAGCGACUGUUAAAAACAGGAGCCACGGGACAAACACUUGACGAGGGAAGGGCCAUUAAUCUCUCUCUUUCUGCUCUAGGUGAUGUUAUUGCAGCGCUUAGAAGAAAGCGCGGCUUUGUUCCGUAUAGAAAUAGCAAGCUAACUCAAAUUCUCAGAGAUUCCCUUGGUGAUGGAUCAAAGGUAUUGAUGCUGGUCCACAUAAGCCAAUGUGAAGAGGAUGUUGGCGAGACAACCUGUUCAUUGACUUUUGCAAAGAGAGCAAGAGCAGUAGAAUCCAAUAGAGAACUACCAGAGGACUUGAAGAAGCAAAAAGAAAAGCGGAUUGCUGAGCUUGAGGAAGAGAUGAGGGAUGUUGAAGAAGAAUACCAAAAAGUAGGGAACCAAAUACAUGAGGCGGAGUUGUUGUUAAGUGAAAAGAGAAAUCUCUUCUCUGUCACUUAUCAAAUUCUUGAGGAGGAGGGAAAGAUACCCACAAGCCCCAAAGAAGAUUUAAGAGAGGUCCUGCAAACCCCUGAAACAUCUGAGAAAAAAAUUAGAAGAAAUCUCACUAUUUCUAUUCCUCGGUUCAUGAAUCCUACUGUGGCCAGUCGCCAAAGGAGGAGUGUUGCAGAAAAAGAAAUAGGUGGUAGAGCAAAAAUAUGGAGAUCAGGAAAUAGAAGUUCAAUCCAAAAUUCAGGUUCACAGUCUCUCAGUUAUUUAGAUCCCCAUUUCAAAGCACUCUUACGGAAUUCAAAUAAAAAAUCCCGAUAUGGAGAGACAAAUACUCCCCUCAGUGAGAGUACCAAAUGCAAUGUCCUGGAGUCCAAGCCAUCGAAUGUUUCACAAAGCAAGAUGGUCUCUUCUUCGGAUCCAAACUUGAGAGUUACCCUUUGUCGUCACAGAAGAAGAAUGUCUGAUCUGAUUUGAGGCAUGUGACAGGUGGUGUGAACAGGGAUCGGGUACAUAUUCACCGUGACAUACUAACAUGGUUGAUGAAGAAAAGAGGAUUGGAGAACAUCCAUUGUCUGGUGAAGCAAGCUUCCUUGGUAGAAAAUGAAAGAAAUUGGUUGCAAGUAUUCAUUGCUCAUCUGUCAAUGUAAUCUAAGCAACAUUUUCUUUCCUAUAUAGUGGAGUCGGGGAUUGAUGGAAUCGAUCAGAAGUGCGACUUGCGUUAAGCAAGGCAAACUGAAAAAGAGAAUGAAGGCUUCAUCUCUCUUUGUUAGAAAGGCUUACUAUUCCUUCUUUGGUCCUGAUGAUGUGAACUUGUGACUUCAAAAUGGAAUGAGUUGAAUAAUUCUGUGCAUGUGAUUCCUAGUUAGCAUUCUGACAAAAGAAGGAAUAAAGAUGCUAUUGCAGCUUGGCAUAGGAGACAAGAGUUUGCUGGCUGUCACAUAACUUAGUACUCCAAAGAGCCAGGAGAUACCUAGUGCACAACACCCUUUGGUGACUGCAUGGCCCUCAUUUAGCUGGAAGUAGGAAAUCAGCCCCGGCACGGCUUGUGGCCGGCUUCGUUCAGUUUUUUCAGUCCAGUUUCUGAUUUCAAUUCUUAGAAAAUAGAAAAAUUUACAAAAAAUUGUUUAGUUGAUAGUUUCUGACCACUGUUAUCUGUUUA